GCCCUUGAAAGAUAGUAGUAAUCUAUUGGUCUUAGGAACCAAAAACCCUUGGUGCAACUCCAAGCAAGAGUU
rnacentral:tRNA from 1 species